GGCCGCAUUGUUUAGUUGGUUAUAACGUAGACCUAAUAGAGCAAAACCCCUGUUAGUCUAAGGUCGGCGGUUCGAGCCCGCCUGUGGUCA
rnacentral:tRNA from 1 species